UCACAGCCUAGGAGGAAAAGGGGCAGAAGUUGGAAGCAGCAGAUCAUUGCCAUUCAGAUCUCAAUAUUUGGCACUUCUACUGUGGCAAGGAAUGGAUCAAACGUGACUUGUGCCACAGGAUUUCAGGUCCUUCCAAGACACAAACUGAUGCUUUUAUCUCAGCUCUAGGCAAACAUCUGUCCUCAUCACUAAUUAAAAGACAGAGAUAAUGAGCAGGCACAAGCUGUUGCCCCCAGCCCUUCUCUGGCAGGGUCAUACCCUCCUGGCACGUCCCAGUCUGCGACUCAUCUCACUCAUUGGCACAUCAGCCCAUCACCUCGCACAGACCUCCUUCAGAAUGUGUGAAACGCACUGAAGUAACAACAGAGAGCCUCUGUGCAUCUCCUCCAGGCCGAGCACUUCACAGCUAUUAUCUACUCAUCUCCCUCAGGUUGAUCAGGGCACGGGUAUCGUGUCCUGUUUCCAAAGCAUCCACAAAGAGCUUGGAAAUCCUCUCCCCAAACUCCACGUUGUCGCUGCAGCCUCCCCAGACCCAGCCUCGGCCACCUGCAAGGCAGACACAGACGGUAAGAACAGAACUGCCUCACCGGGCUGAGUUCUGCCCCAGGACAUGCACUGCAGUGGGGCUGGGGUGAUGGCAGCCCAGCUCACUGCUGGACAGUCACAGCAGGAUGCAUGUCAGCAUCUUACCUACACGCCCGUUCCUGGAGUCAUCGCAGCCGCAGCUCUCGAAGUCUCCUAAGCUGCAGUUCCUGGUCAGGGUGUACAUAACACCAGCGGAGCUGAUGGCGUGCACAAAGGAUGUCUCUCUGGUAGCUGGAGAAGAAGGGAGAAAAGCUGUCACGCACAAACAUACACUCCAGUCCUUGUUUAUUGGAAAGGAAGCUCUCUUGUGAAGCCAUCACCAUUCUGAAGGCGCAAGAAGGAGAUAACAAAACAGUCUAUGCAAAAGGUCCUGUCAUCAGAAAGUUAUUCACCGACCUGAAACAAAGAAAGGAAAAUGAGACGCGCCGUUUAACACAGGCUGAAGAGCAUCCCCCCACACACCCCGAAUCCUACCAUGCUGCUGCAUUGAGAAUAGCAC